rnacentral:rRNA from 1 species
GAAAAAGAACCUGAAACCGUGUACGUACAAGCAGUGGGAGCCUCUUUUAUGGGGUGACUGCGUACCUUUUGUAUAAUGGGUCAGCGACUUAUAUUCUGUAGCAAGGUUAACCGAAUAGGGGAGCCGAAGGGAAACCGAGUCUUAACUGGGCGUUAAGUUGCAGGGUAUAGACCCGAAACCCGGUGAUCUAGCCAUGGGCAGGUUGAAGGUUGGGUAACACUAACUGGAGGACCGAACCGACUAAUGUUGAAAAAUUAGCGGAUGACUUGUGGCUGGGGGUGAAAGGCCAAUCAAACCGGGAGAUAGCUGGUUCUCCCCGAAAGCUAUUUAGGUAGCGCCUCGUGAAUUCAUCUCCGGGGGUAGAGCACUGUUUCGGCAAGGGGGUCAUCCCGACUUACCAACCCGAUGCAAACUGCGAAUACCGGAGAAUGUUAUCACGGGAGACACACGGCGGGUGCUAACGUCCGUCGUGAAGAGGGAAACAACCCAGACCGCCAGCUAAGGUCCCAAAGUCAUGGUUAAGUGGGAAACGAUGUGGGAAGGCCCAGACAGCCAGGAUGUUGGCUUAGAAGCAGCCAUCAUUUAAAGAAAGCGUAAUAGCUCACUGGUCGAGUCGGCCUGCGCGGAAGAUGUAACGGGGCUAAACCAUGCACCGAAGCUGCGGCAGCGACACUAUGUGUUGUUGGGUAGGGGAGCGUUCUGUAAGCCUGUGAAGGUGUACUGUGAGGUAUGCUGGAGGUAUCAGAAGUGCGAAUGCUGACAUAAGUAACGAUAAAGCGGGUGAAAAGCCCGCUCGCCGGAAGACCAAGGGUUCCUGUCCAACGUUAAUCGGGGCAGGGUGAGUCGACCCCUAAGGCGAGGCCGAAAGGCGUAGUCGAUGGGAAACAGGUUAAUAUUCCUGUACUUGGUGUUACUGCGAAGGGGGGACGGAGAAGGCUAUGUUGGCCGGGCGACGGUUGUCCCGGUUUAAGCGUGUAGGCUGGUUUUCCAGGCAAAUCCGGAAAAU